GACGAACGCUGGCGGCGUGCUUAAUACAUGCAAGUCGAACGAUGAAAGCUGGAGCUUGCUCCGGCUGGAUUAGUGGCGAACGGGUGAGUAACACGUGAGUAACCUGCCCCUCACUCUGGGAUAACCUCGGGAAACCGAAGCUAAUACCGGAUACGACCCUCGGAGGCAUCUCCAGGGGGUGGAACGAAUUUCGGUGAGGGAUGGACUCGCGGCCUAUCAGGUAGUUGGUGAGGUAAUGGCUCACCAAGCCGACGACGGGUAGCCGGCCUGAGAGGGUGACCGGCCACACUGGGACUGAGACACGGCCCAGACUCCUACGGGAGGCAGCAGUAGGGAAUAUUGCACAAUGGGCGCAAGCCUGAUGCAGCAACGCCGCGUGAGGGACGACGGCCUCGGUUGUAA
rnacentral:rRNA from 1 species